UACGAAGGGGGCUAGCGUUGCUCGGAAUCACUGGGCGUAAAGCGCACGUAGGCGGAUUGCUAAGUCAGGGGUGAAAUCCUGGAGCUCAACUCCAGAACUGCCUUCGAUACUGGGAGUCUCGAGUUCGGGAGAGGUGAGUGGAACUGCGAGUGUAGAGGUGAAAUUCGUAGAUAUUCGCAAGAACACCAGUGGCGAAGGCGGCUCACUGGCCCGAUACUGACGCUGAGGUGCGAAAGCGUGGGGGAGCAAACAGG
rnacentral:rRNA from 1 species